rnacentral:rRNA from 1 species
GACAGCAGCCGCCGCGGGAAUACGGAGGGUGCAAGCGUUAAUCGGAAUUACUGGGCGUAAAGCGCACGCAGGCGGUCUGACAAGUCAGAUGUGAAAUCCCCGGGCUUAACCUGGGAACUGCAUUUGAAACUGUCAGGCUGGAGUCUUGUAGAGGGGGGUGGAAUUCCAGGUGUAGCGGUGAAAUGCGUAGAGAUCUGGAGGAAUACCGGUGGCGAAGGCGGCCCCCUGGACAAAGACUGACGCUCAGGUGCGAAAGCGUGGGGAGCAAACAGGAUUAGAUACCCCGGUAGUCCCUGUCUCUUAUAC